UUUUACAUAAUAUAACACAUAUAAAUGUGAUCAACAUUAAGUUUACAAUCAGAUAAAAAGCUCUAGAAGUGUAUAGUAAUGAAGCAUCACAUGGGCUUCAUUACUCCCAGAACUAGAUCCACUGAACUAUGAAGAAACAUGAUGCUUGUGAAAAAACAUGAAAGGCUAGCAUCUACACAUUAUACAACAAAAUGGUUAGGAACAAAAUAAAAAUAAUCUAACAACAUAUUUAAC
rnacentral:lncRNA from 1 species